AGGGCAAGACUUAGCCCCCACCAGGAAGACCAGGGAGAAAAGGAGGUCUCCUGGGCCAGAACGUACCCCAAAUCCUCCAGGACUCCCAGUACCUGGAUGCUGUGACCUUGAGAAGUGGCUCCCACAUGUCCAGAAUUCACCAACUGGCAUGACUUUUCAGAAGGGGAUGGCAAGAGACCACCCAGCUGCCUGAUGGAAACGUCAUCCCAGACCAGAAGUGGUCCUCAGCGCUGAGCGGGGC
rnacentral:lncRNA from 1 species